UGUUCAUUCACCAAGCGUUAAACUACGCAGGUGUCCUCUGUCAAUUUGCAUAUGCUUGCUUGUUUGAGUUAAGAAGAGAUAUUUUCCGUUCUCUUCUUCUUUGUGAACGUCGUGAUACAAGCUGGAGAAGUAAGUCAGAUUCCGACAUUUUGAGCAAGGGAGAUUCCGAUUCUGACAAAAAGACUCUGCAUUCUUUUUUCUAAAAUUAUAUUUUGAUGAUGAAUGCAGUUGAAUUUGUUGCUGUUGAUGAUGGGAAUUGUGACUUUAUUACUUGUCACAGUUUAGGCGGUGGUCAUAGUAAUGAUGAUGGUGGUUAAAUACUUUCCCAUUUAUGUUAAUUCAAAAAAAUGUACAUUAAGUUGCAAAAUCUCUUAUGUUCUAUUAUUUUAUUCUGCUUUUUUAUUUCCGAUUGAAUAUAUUUUUAUAUAUUUAAAAAUUGGAAUUUUGGAAGCUUGAAGUUUCGGGAAUGAGGCCAACCGAAUGGAAAGGGCAAGUGACGUCAACAGCCGGAAGAGGAAACGAUAAAGUGAGGCUGCUGAAGACUAACUUGGGUCUUCUGUCCUCUGGGCAGUCGUGGUGAACAGAUGCGUUUGGACGCGAGGCGAGCGGGGUAUGGAUUGAACGCUACUGGAUAGCCAACAUUAAGAGAUUAACAGAUGACAUUUUUUCUCAACUAAAUGUCAGCUCCUCUGAAACACCUUAAAAUCAUUUCAUCCAAGGAAGCAUUUGCACUAAUUCCACAACCCAGUUAUUGGAAAGGUUUUAUGUAUUAUAAACUGGUGCCAAUUGAAACAUGAAUUUCAAGGGCUCAAAGAACUUGGAAUACUAACUUUUGAAACAAUUCAGGGAAAAAUGAGAGGAAAAUCAGUUUUAAAAUAUUUAUUAUUUUCAGGAGGGACUUUCAAUGUAUUGAAUGUGUUCCUGAUAAAGUGCAUAUUUUGAAGUUCAGCGCACUCUCUUAAGAGGAGAGUCACAAGUUGUACAAAGCUAAGGAUUUCUUUUUAUUUUCUUCCUGCAUUUUCUCAUUGAUUGCAAAUUUCAAAAUCAUUGCUAUUUUUGCAUUUGGACAAUGGACAUGCUUAACAAUUUCUUUUCAGCAUAUGCUGUCCAAAUGAAAAGUUUGCUUAUUGCUAGCCUUUGCAAUUACAUUUUUUUAAGCACCAAUAAUAAUUAUUCGCACGUUGAUGAAUGAUUAAGUUACCAUUUUGAGAGAAUGGUUGGCCACAGAUAUUACAGUAAAAUAUUUUGCUCCCAUAUGAAUACGUUUGUGAGAUGUUAAGCUACCGAUCUAAGAGAAUGGUUUACCACAAAUGUAAGUGAUAUGGCUUCUCUGUGUGGAUACGUUUGUGUUUAAUGAAGUUACAUUUUUGGUAAAAUAUCUUCUUAGAGAUAUCACAGUGUUACGAUGUUUUACUUGUCCUUUUCUUUAUACCCUCAGGAGAAUCCUUAAAUUAUGCUUUAAAUUUAACCUCAUUCUCCUACAAUUUAUUUUCCGUACUUAUUUCUCUUUGAACCACAAUAUUGAACUCUGUUCAUAGUUGUUUCUUAACAAAUAUUUGAAUUUCCACCAACUAUGAUCUUUAUCAAUAUGUACAGCUCUUACAAGCUCCUCUGUAAUUUGUAAUCCAUGUUCAGUUAACCUGCAAAAUCAUCUUGUAGAUAUUCUGGAUAGUGAUUAAGCGAGAUAUUGCUAUUUCUCUGUUCACACGGAAAACUAUUAGAGAGUAAUUCCAUCACAGAUUUACAUCGAUCAAAUUAUAUUUGUUCUGCAUAGACAUCUUUAUGGUCUUUAAAAGAUAAUAAAUAUUGAUGAUGUAUCUGAUGUAGACAAUUGUUCGAUGCCAAUGUCAGAUAAUCUGAGAUAACAAACAUCAGUGUAAGACUUAGAAGAUACAUGAAAUGUAUACACACAAAUGCAUUGUAUGCAUGCAUUAGUGUUCUGUUUAUAUAUUUACAGGUAUAUGCACAUACACACACAUAUAUACAUAUACAAGGAAUACUGAAAAGGUAUUGUAAAAGGCCUGAUUGGGUGACCAAUCUUCUGAGUUCUUUUACAGGGCUUAGAAAAAUGUAAGGACCACUGCAAUAAGUGUGUGAAUCUGAGAGGGGGGAAUAUACUGAAUUGAAUCAUAAUUAACUGAUUCCUACUGUAUUUUCUGUUACCCGAAGCCCAGAACUUUCAGCACCCUUUUGUAUGUGUGUACAUAUGUAUAUGGACGUUAAACAAUGAUGUGUGUGUUUGUGUGUAUGUCCAUGCUCUCCCGUGCUGCAGACUGAUUUUGUCAAUUUCAUAUGGCUGGAUGCCUUUCAUGUCACCGACUCUCAUCUGUUUCCAGCUAAGGUAAUAUAUUUCCCUUGUUGGAUAUAUUUUCAUGGGAGACUGGAAACAAAUGAUACCAUUUGCAUGAUGGUAACACUCACCUACAGCCAUCACUCUGUCAGGAAAAGGAAACACUAACACAUAUAUGAUGAGCUUAUUUCAGUUUCUCUUCACAUAAUAUUCGCUAUACUUUGGUAGACCAGAGCCUUUAGUAAACAUCACUUGCCCAAGAUGCCAUGUAGUGGGGAUGGACCCAAACUCUAUUUAACCAUGUAGCCACACCUGUGCCUAUAUUUUACCUGAAUUAUGUUAAUGGCACAAAUGUCUUUGGAAUACAUGUUAAUUCAGUUGACCAAACAACUGAAAACUCUUUGUCAAACGGUGGAGAUCUACCCACAUUAUAAAUGUAUAAACCAAUCUAAAGACCGAAGUUUGAUUGAUUGAUUAGACUCGUGUACUUGCUUAUCUCCCUUCGUCUUCACUCUGCAUAAU